UCUAUGUCCUUUGCCUUUGUAAGACUAAAGGCUGAUCUCAUCGGACUGUGUAGCUCACAAAGGGUGGGGAAUAAAUGCAAGACUCCCGGACAGCUUCUCAUCUUUUUGGGCGAAAAGGAUUUAAGAUAGGCUUUACCAAAGACGGAGAGACUUUUGAACCUCAAGGAAGAAAAUGAGGACUUCUACAUGAAGUAAAGUAGCAGUGAUAAAGGCAAUUAAGAAUCUUCAAUGAACAUAACAUGCAGGUUUUUGGGAUCUGGGAGGAAACUGGAAAACCAAGCACAGGCAGAACAUACAAAUUCAAACCCAGAACUUGUGACUGUGAGGCAGAUGACUAGACUGGAAG